rnacentral:rRNA from 1 species
GAUGAACGCUAGCUGGAGGCUUAAUACAUGCAAGUCGAGCGGGAUUGGGUAGCAAUACCCAUGAGAGCGGCGCACGGGUGAGUAACGCGUACACGACCUACCUCUGACAGGGGGAUAGCCCUGGGAAACUGGGAUUAAUACCGCAUAUUAUUCUGAUUAAUAAAGGAUUGGAAUGAAAGUUCAGGCGGUCAGAGAUGGGUGUGCGUCUGAUUAGCUAGUUGGUAGGGUAACGGCCUACCAAGGCGAUGAUCAGUAGGGGGCGUGAGAGCGUGGUCCCCCACACGGGUACUGAGGCACGGACCCGACUCCUACGGGAGGCAGCAGUAAGGAAUAUUGGACAAUGGCCGCAAGGCUGAUCCAGCCAUCCAGCGUGCAGGAAGAAGGCCCUAUGGGUUGUAAACUGCUUUUAUCAGGGAAGAAACCUGUGGAUUUACUCUGCAGCUGACGGUACCUGAAGAAUAAGCACCGGCUAACUCCGUGCCAGCCGCCGCGGUAAAAC